UACGUAGGAGGCAAGCGUUGUUCGGAAUUACUGGGCGUAAAGGGCUCGUAGGCGGCCAACUAAGUCGGACGUGAAAUCCCUCAGCUUAACUGGGGAACUGCGUCCGAUACUGGAUGGCUUGGAUUCGGGAGAGGAAUGCGGAAUUCCAGGUGUAGCGGUGAAAUGCGCAGAUAUCAGGAGGAACACCGGUGGCGAAGGCGGGUCUCUGGGCCGAUACUGACGCUGAGGAGCGAAAGCAUGGGGAGCGAACAGG
rnacentral:rRNA from 1 species